rnacentral:rRNA from 1 species
GAUGAACGCUAGCGAUAGGCUUAACACAUGCAAGUCGAGGGGCAGCAUGGUCUUAGCUUGCUAAGACUGAUGGCGACCGGCGCACGGGUGCGUAACGCGUAUGCAACUUGCCUCACAGAGGGGGAUAACCCGUCGAAAGACGGACUAAUACCGCGUACACUCCAUCUUGGGCAUCCAAGGUAGAGGAACUGAAAUUCGCUGUGAGAUAGGCAUGCGUCCCAUUAGCUAGUUGGUGAGGUAACGGCUCACCAAGGCGACGAUGGGUAGGGGAACUGAGAGGUUGAACCCCCACCCGAGUACUGGGACACGGACCAGACGACUACGGGAGGCAGCAGUGAGGAAUAUUGGGCAAUGGGCGAGAGCCUGAACCAGCCAAGUCGCGUGAAGGAUGACUGUCUUAUGGAUUGUAAACUUCUUUUAGACGGGAAUAACAAGAGUCACGUGUGACUCCCUGCAUGUACCGUAUGAAUAAGCAUCGGCUAACUCCGUG